UGUCCUCCCCAUCAACACCACGCCGUAGACGGCGGUGUCCGCGAGGCCGCCGUAGGUCCCCGCAUCCUCCACACCGCCGCCGUUGCCGCUGCUCGCCUUCUGCACCGCCGUCUUGAGGUAGUGGAGGAGGAACCUGGUGAGGAUGAGGUUCCUGUUCUCGCUGCCGUAGGCGCCGAGUGUCGUGAUGAGCUUUUCUAUAACAUUGGGGUGGAGAAUGGUGAGGUCGUCGAACCACCAUUCCCUGCCGGAGCAGGGCUUGAUGCUGUCGGGGGUCUUGGCGGAGGAGGAGAAUCUUAGCCCGUAGGUGUCGGGAGACGAGGAGGAGGAGGAUGAGGAGGCGAAGGGGGUGCCCGCCACCAGAGGGAUUUCAGAAUUCGCCGAGAUCUUGCCAAGAAGGGCAGAGAAGAGUUUCUGGAGGAGACCCGAGUCGUCGGCGGCGUCUAGGAAAGGCUCGCAGCUCUUCAGAGAGUCGAGGAUGUCUCUCCAGGUCCAGUAGAAGAGCCCCUC
rnacentral:lncRNA from 1 species